rnacentral:rRNA from 1 species
UACGUAGGGUGCGAGCGUUGUCCGGAAUUAUUGGGCGUAAAGAGCUCGUAGGCGGCUUGUCGCGUCGGAUGUGAAAGCCCGGGGCUUAACCCCGGGUCUGCAUUCGAUACGGGCAGGCUAGAGUUCGGUAGGGGAGAUCGGAAUUCCUGGUGUAGCGGUGAAAUGCGCAGAUAUCCGGAGGAACACCAACAGCGAAGGCAGUGUCCUGGGAAGUGUCUGACGCUCAGGUGCGAAAGCCAGGGGAGCGAACGG